rnacentral:rRNA from 1 species
UACGUAGGGUGCGAGCGUUAAUCGGAAUUACUGGGCGUAAAGCGUGCGCAGGCGGUUUUGUAAGACAGGGGUGAAAUCCCCGAGCUCAACUUGGGAAUUGCGCUUGUGACUGCAAGGCUAGAGUGUGUCAGAGGGGGGUAGAAUUCCACGUGUAGCAGUGAAAUGCGUAGAGAUGUGGAGGAAUACCGAUGGCGAAGGCAGCCCCCUGGGACAUGACUGACGCUCAUGCACGAAAGCGUGGGGAGCAAACAGG